rnacentral:misc_RNA from 1 species
CCGAGUUUACAACUCCCAAACCCAUGUGAACAUACCUACUGUUGCUUCGGCGGGAUUGCCCCGGGCGCCUCGUGUGCCCCGGAUCAGGCGCCCGCCUAGGAAACUUAACUCUUGUUUUUAUUUUUGGAAUCUUCUGAGUAGUUUUUACAAAUAAAUAA